ensembl:snRNA U6 U6 spliceosomal RNA
GUGCUCACUUCCACAACACACAUACUAAAAUUGGAACGAUACAGAGAAGGUUAGCAAGCCCCUCACAAGGACAGCACGCAAAUUUCUGAAGUUUCCUUAUUUUUU